rnacentral:pre_miRNA from 1 species
CUCAGAGGGGUAGGGGCCCUCAGCCCAGAUUGUGAGAGGGCACAGGCCAGGCUGAGGGACCCCACCUGUGCACA